rnacentral:misc_RNA from 1 species
CUGAGUACUACACUCUCUACCCUUUGUGAACUAUUAUACCUGUUGCUUCGGCGGCGCCCGCGAGGAUGCCCGCCGGUCUCAUCAGAAUCUCUGUUUUCGAACCCGACGAUACUUCUGAGUGUUCUUAGCGAACUGUCA